UCCUCGAUAGUAUAGUGGUGAGUAUCUCCGCCUGUCACGCGGAAGACCGGGGUUCAAUUCCCCGUCGGGGAG
rnacentral:tRNA from 1 species